AACACCUCAAUUUCAAGAUUUUUUAUUUUGAAAUUGGACUUGAGCAUAUCCCAACGUGUAUUUAAUUACAUGGAGGGUUGCUUCAAAUGCAGGUGCAGCCGAUUAUUCUUCUGGGCUAAAAGCAUUAUCUAGUUAGUCCCGUAAAACGGAUUAUUCAUUUUAUUGCUGCAGCUUACCUUUAAAAGGAAGACAUGGUCAUUGUGCUGACUGAUGCAGGAUUUCUCAGAGGGUCUGCAAAGACUUUUUGAAA
rnacentral:misc_RNA from 1 species